rnacentral:rRNA from 1 species
AGAGUUUGAUCCUGGCUCAGGAUGAACGCUAGCGGCAGGCUUAACACAUGCNAGUCGAGGGGUAACGGGGUGCUUGCACCGCCGACGACCGGCGCACGGGUGAGUAACGCGUAUACAACCUACCUUAUAGAGGGGGAUAGCCCAGGGAAACUUGGAUUAAUACCCCAUGGCACCAUAGGACCACCUGGUUUUAUGGUUGAACAUUUAUGGCUAUAAGAUGGGUAUGCGUCCCAUUAGCUGGUUGGUAGGGUAACGGCCUACCAAGGCAUCGAUGGGUAGGGGCCCUGAGAGGGGGAUCCCCCACACUGGUACUGAGACACGGACCAGACUCCUACGGGAGGCAGCAGUGAGGAAUAUUGGACAAUGGGGGCAACCCUGAUCCAGCCAUGCCGCGUGCAGGAAGACGGCCCUAUGGGUUGUAAACUGCUUUUGUACGGGAAGAACCGCCACGCUCGUGAGCGUGGUUUGACGGUACCGUAAGAAUAAGGAUCGGCUAACUCCGUGCCAGCAGCCGCGGUAAUACGGAGGAUCCGAGCGUUAUCCGGAAUCAUUGGGUUUAAAGGGUCCGUAGGCGGAAAGAUAAGUCAGUGGUGAAAGUCGGUAGCUCAACUAUCGAAUUGCCGUUGAAACUGUUUUUCUUGAGUUAUUGUGAAGUGGUUGGAAUAUGUAGUGUAGCGGUGAAAUGCAUAGAUAUUACAUAGAACACCGAUUGCGAAGGCAGGCCACUAGCAAUACACUGACGCUGAUGGACGAAAGCGUGGGUAGCGAACAGGAUUAGAUACCCUGGUAGUCCACGCCGUAAACGAUGGUUACUAGCUGUCCGGGCACAAUACGUUGUGUUUGGGUGGUUAAGCGAAAGUGAUAAGUAACCCACCUGGGGAGUACGUUCGCAAGAAUGAAACUCAAAGGAAUUGACGGGGGCCCGCACAAGCGGUGGAGCAUGUGGUUUAAUUCGAUGAUACGCGAGGAACCUUACCAGGGCUUAAAUGCAGCCUGACAGCCCCCGAAAGGGGGUUUCCUUCGGGCAGAUUGCAAGGUGCUGCAUGGUUGUCGUCAGCUCGUGCCGUGAGGUGUCAGGUUAAGUCCUAUAACGAGCGCAACCCCUGUUGUUAGUUACCAGCCCCCAACUUGUUGGGGGGGGACUCUAACAAGACUGCCGGUGCAAACCGCGAGGAAGGUGGGGAUGACGUCAAAUCAUCACGGCCCUUACGUCCUGGGCCACACACGUGCUACAAUGGUAUGGACAGAGAGCAGCCACUGCGCAAGCAGGAGCGAAUCUACAAACCAUAUCACAGUUCGGAUCGGGGUCUGCAACUCGACCCCGUGAAGCUGGAAUCGCUAGUAAUCGCAUAUCAGCCAUGAUGCGGUGAAUACGUUCCCGGGCCUUGUACACACCGCCCGUCAAGCCAUGGAAGCUGGGGGUGCCUGAAGUCCGUUGCCGUAAGGAGCGGCCUAGGGUAAAACCGGUAACUGGGGCUAAGUCGUAACAAGGUAACC